rnacentral:lncRNA from 1 species
CAAUCUAUGUUUUUCCAAUUUCUUUGAUAGUUCAUAUGAGGAAGUAAGUACCAUCUGCUUUCGCAGAGAUCUACAUUUGAUUCACGUUCCGAAUGUGAAGCACCUUUUCUUUCUCUCAUAUAUCUUCUACUUCUUAUUAGUCACACUUUACAACGAUUGUAAAACAUAGUUACUAAUACGGAAUCAAGCAUUCAAGUAGAAGAACCAACUGUUUUGAACUAUUCAAGAACAAUUUACAACACCUUCGAAAGGCGUGUUCUUGACACUUGCAAGACAUUUCUUGCAAAUACCCCUUCCAAUGUCCAUCCUUUCAUAAAGAAAGUUUGUUCCCUUGGAGUUAAUUUAAUCUUCUUCAUUUGACUUCUCCUUUGACUACAUUAGUCAUGGUCCCUAAACUCCCACUAUCUCUCUUGAAACUUAUUUCAAUUGUGUUGUACACAUCAAACAUUUUGGAGAGCAUGUGGUUAUUGUUCACUACAUAGUUUACAAUAAACUUAGUGAACCAUUAGUGUAGGGAAACAAAGGUGAAGUCCUUGCCUAGUUUCCGUCUCGCUAAGUGGUUUAUCACUUCAACACUCAAUGAUUCAAAAUCAUCUUAAGUCCAUGUUAAUGGACUAUUUUUGUCAACCAACCAUUAUGUUCUAAACAUAAUUACAAAUCUUCAAGAGUUGUACAAGGCAACUCUCAUUUCUUCAUACAACAAUUUGUA